rnacentral:tRNA from 1 species
GCCACCGUAGCUUAGACCGGCAGAGCGGCUGACUUGUAAUCAGCAGGUCGUGGGUUCAAAUCCCACCGGUGGCU